AUAUCUUCUCGGCUAUUUAGCUAAGAUCAAGUUUUUAAACUGUUCUUAUCAGAGUAAUUCCUGAUAUGGACUUCGGUCCAGGAAUAGAAACUAUGGAUCAUCAAAAACGUUCUAACGGAGUUCCACGUUAUCCGGUUUGGAGCGUUUAUUUU
rnacentral:snRNA from 1 species